AAUAUUCAUAACUUCAGAUACAGUGAUGAUACAUAGACCGUAACUUUUCCAUUUACACCUUUACAUAAUACACUUUGUACAAGAUUUGUUGCAGUUGUAUAACAGUGGUAAUAUCAGAUGAUAUGGUCAUCCUCAGUCAUACUGCACCACACUGGCUACAUUCCACUGUCAUCAAGACUGGACUACUGCAAGGUUCUCUACAUCAGCAUAAGCCAACCUCCAGCUAACAGGAGUUAACCAGCCGAGAAAGAACUUCCUUGGUAUCAUACAGUUAUCCGCUCUGAAAGUCCUUGCACCUUUCUGAGGCAUCCGAUUCUAGACACUGUCAGAGACAGCAUACUGAUCUAGAUGGACUACAGCUCUGAUCUCAUGCAACUAAUCCAAUAUUCCUGGAACUAUUAGUAGGAAGAAGAAAAAAAAAGGCAAAGGAAAUACACCCAUGCACAUCCUUCUGGACCCCUCUACAGCAUUUGAUACCACUGAUCAACUAAUAUCCUCCUGACCCAAAAGAUGCUGUAAACAGAAGUGUCCUGAACAGAAAUAUCCUGACAUGGCUCUCGUCCUUCCUCUCACUGUGAGCCAAGAGCAUUAUUAUGGGAGAGCAGUCCAUCUGCUUAGCAGAACAGGUCACCAGGAAUAUGUCAUCCUAGUUCUCUGCUCUGGAUCAUGACUGAGUACAUUUCACUGGAAAUAGGAAAUGGCAUAACAUAGGGUACAACUUUUUCUGGAGCUAUACCAAAACCAAAAAACUCAUGUCUGCAAGAAAUAUGAAUAACCACAGAACUCACCCCAUUCAGAACCAGAUGCAAAGCUCAUCUCCAUCUUACCUUUCCUGCAAUAAGUCCAUUAUCUCACACACAAACACAAUUCUGAAAAAGCUUAACCAAGAUAGAACUAUCUGCUGGAAAGGGAGAGAGAUAAUUUCUUUUUAAUUCUUGAGAGACGCUCAGAUUCAACUGACAGGCACUAUAAGAACCUAUAUAAAUAGAACAUCUUAGAAGGAUUCAGAAACUAAAUAUAGCCACUCCACCGCUAUUUGUUUCUCUUGGUGUUAGAUCGAUGUAUUGAUUUUGUUAGUGUUUUGAAGUUACAAUCAGGUGAUUAGAAGUAGCUCUGAAGCAUGUAGUUGUACUGAUUUUUAUGACUCAUGACCAACUAUGAUUAGUCAGAUAGCAAUAAUUUCUAACAUAAUAUAAUAAGGAUUUAAUACUAUCCAAAGCAAUUUUUGGGUACUGUAUUCUGAAGAUUUUUUUCUGAUAGCAACUGAUCUCACAUUUUUCACACGUAAAACCCAUCAACAAAUGCUGUAUACUAAUGUACCUUUUUAAAUAAUGUUGGAAAGAUUAAGUCAUCUUGUUGGAAUAUGUACCAUCAAAAGUUAGUAUUAUAGAGCUACAAUCCCUGAACUCAAAAGUUUGUCUACCAAAGUAAUCAGGAGCAUUGUCCCUAUAUAUCUGGAGCCUGACUAGGAAAGGUCUGAGAUAUCUGAAUGGUGGGUUACUAUUGUUGACUGUCCUUACACUUGAAUAUGACUACGCUUUAGUGACUAGAAGGAUGUUCUUGGUGGAGGGCCCGCAGCUCUGGAAAUCACUUCCCCCGCUGAGCCAUUUCAAAAGUGAUUAGUGAUUUCCGGUGCCCAAUCUGAGACAUUUUAAGGGCCCCUGAUUUUCAGAAUGUUUUGCGAAUUGGCCCUCUGAAAAUAAGGCUCCUUAAAAAGACUUGUCAAGUUGGGCACCCCCAAAAAAUCCCACACAAAGCACCCAAAUGUAUUUAUCAUUUCUGAAAAUUUAGGCCAUGAGCUUUGGUCUGAAGAGGAUGCUUAUGGCUAACUGAAUUCAUUUUAGGAUUGAGUUGAUUUAGUUUUAUGUGACCAGUAAGUGUUAUUGAUAUUUUGUAUUUAUCCUCCUAGCAUUUUGACUGGCUUUUGUAUGUAAGCUAAUAAAUUAUUCCAAAUUUUAUUAUAAUUUCAUUUUAGCUAGGAGAAAAUUAGUUGUAGACUUAUCAGUAAAUAUAGUUUUAAAGAGACCCACAUGCUAAAGUGGCUUAAACUACUUCCAAUUUCCCCCUGCUCCUUUGUUCUUAAUGGAAAUCAAAACAGAGACAAAUACUUAAGUAACAAGAUCAUAUGAUUUUUCCCCCCAGUAAAUACUCUCCCCACUAAAAAUCCAACCACAACUACCAAUAGAGGAGGAAACUCACUAAUAACGCUAUCUGAAAUGUAUUCAACACCAUAAUAAUGAUAUGAUGCAACACCAAUGUGAAUUCUGUAUUUGGCAUCUCCAGUUUAAGGAGGUCCAUAAGAAAGUGUUUUUAGAACAAUUUCUACAAAUAUCAAUUUUCUAUACUUGAAAACUAAAGCUGGAGAAACAUUUUUGUACAAUACCACUUACAAAAGUUUAGAAAGCCACAGCUGUGAAUCACCUGUUUAUGAAAACCAAAGAUAUUGUUUUGGUUACAGCUCAAAUUUUUUUUUUUAAAUACACACACACACAAACUUGCUCUGCCUAGUCUAAACAAUCAGAAAUACAGUCAAGUCUUUUUGGUUACAUCUCAAAAUUACAGAUUAUAUAUAUAAAUAAGAUGCUACUAAACAGACUGGAAUAAUAUCUUUGGGUGUUUAGACUAGGCAAAGCGAGGGGUUGUGUGUUUUUUAUAUAUAUAUGUUUGUGCACACAAAACUCACUCUGCCUAGUCUAAACAAUUACUAUACAAUGUUCUCGUGUCAAAAGUUUUGACAUUGGUUUUAAUAUUUUCUCAAAAUGACUUGCAAGAGACUUGGAGUUAUGUACCAGCCAGCUUAACAACAUUAAGGUAUGAGAAAAUAAGAAUUUUAAGAACAUAUUUAUUAAAAAGAAAGUUAUUCUAGGAGUUCCACGCGUAUACAGUUAGUUGAAAGCUAGUACAGUGCAAUGUUGAAUGAAGACAAAAGACAUAGGAUAGUUCUGCCCUCUGCAGGGGGUAUAAAGGUAUUAAUUAAACCUUCUAUAUAAAAAAGCGAUACAGUACUUAUGGAAGCAUUGUACGAACACUUUAGAAACAAAAAGGUUUAGAAAAGUCUUCAUGAUAUAUUCUUUAUGUAAACUAUUAAACCAUUACUAAUGCAAA